UGCUAAUACCUCAUAACCUCACAAAACCGCGUGGGUUGAUGUGAAAAACUCCCGUGGUAUAACAUGGACCCCCGUUGGAUUAUCUAUUUGGCGCGCCACCGACCUACCAAGGCCACAAUACAUAGCCGGCCUGAGAGGGUGAACUGCCACCUUGGGACUGAGACACGGCCCAAACUCCUACAGGAGGCACCAGUGGGCAAUAUUGCACAAAGGGGGAAACCCUGAUGCACCGACACCGCGAGAACGAAAAAGUAUCUCGGUCUGCAAACUUCUAUCAACAAGGAAGAUAAUGACGGUUCCUGACUAAGAAACCCCGGCUAAAUACGUGCCAGCCGCCGGCGGUAAUUAGUAGGGGGCCAGCGUUAUCCGGAUUUUCUGGGUGUAAAGGGAGGGUAGGCGGCGCAGCAAGUUUGAUGUGAAAGGCAGGGGCUUUACCCCCGGACUGCCUUGGAAAAUUGUGUGUUUGAGUUCCGGAGGGGUAAGCGGAAUUUCUAGUGGAGCGGUGAAAAGGGUAGAUAUUAGGAGGAACCCCCGUGGCGAAGGCGGCUUUCUGGACGGUAACUGACGGUGAGGCUUGAAAGCGUGGGGAGCCAACCGGAUUAGAUACCCUGGUAGUUCCCCCCGUAAACGAUGAAUACUAGGUGUCGGGGCACAUAAGCUGCUUCGGUGCCGCAGCAAACGCAUUAAGUAUUCCACCUGGGGAGUACGUUCGCAAGAAUGAAACUCAAAGGAAUUGACGGGGACCCGCACAAGCGGUGGAGCAUGUGGUUUAAUUAGAAGCAACGAGAAGAACCUUACCAAGUCUUGACAUCGUUUUGACCGGUAAUUAUCUGUACCUUCUCUUAGGAGCAGGAGUGACAGCUGGCGCAAGGUUGUUGUCAGCUGUUGUAGUGAGAUGUUGGCUUAAGUCUCUCAACGAGCGCAACCCUUUUGUUUCGUAGCCAACGGUCCGCCUGGCCACUCUAGAGAUACUGCCAGGGAUAACCUGGAGGAAGGGGGGGAUGACGUCAAAUCAUCAUGCCCCUUAUGAUUUGGGGGACACACGUCAUUCAAUUGCGGUCACAAUACCGAGGCGACCGUGUGAGGGGGACCAAACCACAUAAACGCUGUCCCAGUUAGUCCCGUAGUCUUCAACCCGAAUACAAGUAGAAGGAAUCGUUAGUAAUCGCGAAUCAGAAUGUAGCGGUGAACCAGUUCCCGUCUUUAGUACACACCGCCCUUCA
rnacentral:rRNA from 1 species